GACAGAGGGUGCAAACGUUGUUCGGAAUUACUGGGCGUAAAGCGAGUGUAGGCGGUUUGGAAAGUCGGAUGUGAAAGCCCCGGGCUCAACCCGGGAAGUGCACUCGAUACUCCCAAGCUAGAGUAUCGGAGAGGUUGGCGGAAUUCUCGGUGUAGAGGUGAAAUUCGUAGAUAUCAGGAAGAACACCAGUGGCGAAAGGCG
rnacentral:rRNA from 1 species